rnacentral:lncRNA from 1 species
CCUAAACACAGUAAAACUGUGUUAAAUGACCAAACAAGGUCUGGAAAUAGAAGCCGAACUUCAAGAUUUCAGCAGAGGAUAACAGCAACACAGUUUCUUCAGCAAAACAAGAAAAAAGAGACACCAAAUUCUAUCGAAAUGUGCUUCUCCAUUCUCGGAAUGUGUGUGUGUGUUCAAAAAUGUGAGUGGGGGUCUGUGGGUGAGAGAUUCUUUGCGUGAGUGACUGAGUGCGUGUAGGUUUUGAGAGAGUGAAGAAUGAGGAGAGGCGGCGGCUAGCUAGGGUUCUUGGUGUAGAGGAAGAUCGGGUAGAGAGAAGAGGGGAAUAAGGGUGGCUGCUAGGGUUUUCAAAGUUUUGGGGGGAGGGUCGUUCUUAAGAGAAAAUCUCAUUAGGGAGGCGGUUGGUUUUGUUCUUGUUAGAGAAGAAGGUUCGCUCGGGUUCCUCAGAGGGAGGGGUCCGUUUUCUUCUAUUCAAGAUGGGU